rnacentral:tRNA from 1 species
GGUUCAGUGGUGUAGUGGUAUCACACCUGUCUUACAUUGGAAUGAGCACAGAUGGUCGUCGGUUCGAUCCCGGCCUGAACCA